rnacentral:rRNA from 1 species
UACCACCUUGUAGUCUGGUCUCAUCUGAUCUCAGAAGCUAAGCAAGGCUGGACCUUGUCAGUACUGAGAUGAGAGACCUCCUAGGAAAACCAGGU